GAAAUAUUUCAGAAAGGCAUAAGGACAUAUGUAUAUAACUUAUCGCAUAGUGACUUUAUGGAAGUUAUGAGUCAUCCAGUUUUAAUAACAAAUGAUGAUAUUCUUUCACAACAAACAAAAAUAGAAGAUAUUGCUUUACAACUUACAAAAAUGAAAGAUUGGGCUUUGGAGAAGCAUUGUCCUCUCAUUAAAAUAGAACGUAAUUAUUUUAAUUCAAUGAGCCCAACAAAUGUACGGAUACAAUAUGACGACACAUUAAAAAUUCGCUGCAUUUCUGUAACUUUCACUACGCAAACAUUUCUCGAUUUUAAUAAUUUUACUCAUCAUAUGGUAUGCACGGAAAAGGAUUUAAAAUUAUCAUUACCAUUUGAAGAAAAUGGUUGGAUAAUUUUUAAUAUACAACAAACUGGAUAUUAUCGCGUUAACUAUGAUGAACAGAAUUGGCAAAGAAUUUCAACUUAUCUAAAAUCU